rnacentral:rRNA from 1 species
CCUACGGGAGGCAGCAGUGGGGAAUAUUGCACAAUGGGGGGAACCCUGAUGCAGCGACGCCGCGUGAGUGAAGAAGUAUUUCGGUAUGUAAAGCUCUAUCAGCAGGGAAGAAAAUGACGGUACCUGACUAAGAAGCCCCGGCUAACUACGUGCCAGCAGCCGCGGUAAUACGUAGGGGGCAAGCGUUAUCCGGAUUUACUGGGUGUAAAGGGAGCGUAGACGGCAGAGCAAGUCUGAAGUGAAAGCCCGGGGCCCAACUGCGGGACUGCUUUGGAAACUGCCCGGCUAGAGUGCUGGAGAGGUAAGCGGAAUUCCGAGUGUAGCGGUGAAAUGCGUAGAUAUUAGGAGGAACACCAGUGGCGAAGGCGGCUUACUGGACAGUAACUGACGUUGAGGCUCGAAAGCGUGGGGAGCAAACAGGAUUAGAUACCCGAGUAGUC